AUAGCUCACUGGUCGAGUCGGCCUGCGCGGAAGAUGUAACGGGGCUAAACCAUGCACCGAAGCUGCGGCAGCGACGCUUAUGCGUUGUUGGGUAGGGGAGCGUUCUGUAAGCCUGUGAAAGUGUGCUGUGAGGCAUGCUGGAGGUAUCAGAAGUGCGAAUGCUGACAUAAGUAACGAUAAAGCGGGUGAAAAGCCCGCUCGCCGGAAGACCAAGGGUUCCUGUCCAACGUUAAUCGGGGCAGGGUGA
rnacentral:rRNA from 1 species